rnacentral:lncRNA from 1 species
UGGAAGAAAUUUUAAGUAGUGUCUUUUUAUUGAUGUAUGGAUCCUCCAAAUAGUAAAUAAUCCUCUAUACUUAGAAUUAUUGAUUGAGUUAUUUUUCAUGAUUUGCUUUGAUUACCUAGAUAAAGGCCUUGAGUCCACUCCGACCAGAGUGACAUAUGCCACAUUGGGAUCACAAACCCGCACUCGGUCACCCUCCGUCGCAUACGACAAAGGGAUCGGGGGCGGGGCCGUGACAGUAGACCAUACUAAGAAAAUUCCUUUUGCUGAUACCGGACUGAGCUUGACGAGCUAGACCAAUAGUGUUUACGACGCAAAUCAGAACGAUCUUCAGAUAAAGACCCCUCAGAUCUGAAAACUACAAACUAAUUUUUUUAACAAAAGUGAUAGAGAAUGUGGGAAAAAUCGAAUUCUGAUCUGAUGUUAGAUCCGCCCAUAAACAAGUGGAUCUGUUCUCAAAUCAAUGGCAGCACCAGUAUUGAUCUGAAUAAGAAACACGAAAUAAAAGCAAAUAAAAUUAAUCUAAUCUAAUUAAAAUGAAAUAGAAGCCGAAAAAGAAGUAAUGAAGAGUAAAGAAGUAUACCAAAUAGGGCCAGAUGGCUUGGGACUCCCGAGCCUUCCAGAGCUCGCCCGUAUCAGAAUCGAUGUCCUCUUGUUUUUCUCUCUUCAAGUUUUGAUCAAGCCUUGGCCUGGUUGAAUGGGUUUUAUUGAUCUAAGGAUGGCUAAAACUAAGGUUUUCAGGUCUUACGAUCUUAUGUUCUCUGGGCUCACUCUCUCUCUCUCUCUCUUCUUUCUCUCUCUCUAGAUUUCCUAUGCUCUCACGUCCCACCUUUCUUUCUUAUCUAACCUACUCGCCCUACCCCAAAGAUUUUCUCUCCCUCAAGUGGUACAAUAGUUUAUUUUUCUUAUAGGCCUAAUGGGGAUAUAGAAUGAAAAUUAUGGGAUUUGCUAAGUGUAGACUAGAUAAUUACUAGCAGUUGGGGAUAUGUUAGGUGUAGAAUAGAUAACUACUAAAAGCUGAGGAUUUGCUAGGCGUAGAAUUGAUACUUACUAAAACUAUGAGAUUUGCUAAGUGUGGAUCAUAGGAUGAGACCAUGGACUAAACAGUUUUAAAAAAUAGGGUGUCUACAGUUGCCCGUCGUUGUCACUCCUUGUCCUUUGAGGGACAGGUGAGUGGUAAAGAAGUAGACACUUUUUAAAAAAUAGGAGUCUACAGUUACCCCUCUUUGUCACUCCAUGUCCUUCGAGGGGCAGGUGGACGACAAAGAUAAUACACCAACUAUCCCUUCAAGACAUUGUGCUCCCCACUCACCCACCUAGGACAUUUUUCUCCUAGAGUUUUCGAGGUGAGAUGUCUUUAAGUUACACAAGAUUGAAACUCGAGUUGGAUUUUCUGGCCAUGCCACUUAACUUAAGAGUUUCCACAAUUUCAAAUUGAUUUCCUUAAGGUUUCCUAAGGUCUUCUAUAGGUUUCACCUGUUUAGGAAAAGGUUAGGUCAAGAGAUGAGGCCGCAACACGAUGAUAAUCAUAUACGGGUGUCCAAGCUCAUUCAUUUUAAAAGACAUUUUAGAAAUUUUGAAAAUAGGGAGAGAUUUGAAAUAUAACCCAAAACUUGGAUAGGUCACAGUUUUAACAAAAGAAUUAAAGUUUUUGAAAACACAAGACAUAUAAUGAAAAUUUUGAAAAGUGAAAGAUAUUUUGAAAACAAAUUUUUAUUUAGCAGUUUUAGCUCCUGCAACCAUUUACACCUUUAAGCAGUUUAACGUCAUGCAGUGAUGGACAACACACCCAAUCUUUUACAUCAUACGGGGCUAGACAAAUACACCCAACUUUUUAUGUCAUACGGGGCUUGACAAAUACACCCGACCUUGUACGUCAUAUAGGGCUAGAUGUUUUCUGAAUACACCCAACCUUUAACGUCAUACGGGGCUAGACAUUUCUGAAUACACCCGACCUUUUAGGUCAUACGAGGCUAAACGUUUUCUUAAUACAUCCAACCUUGAUGUCAUACGGGGCUAGACAUUUUCUGAAUACACCCGACCUUUUACAUCAUACGGGGCUGGACAUUUUAUAAAUACAUCUGACCUUUUACGUCAUACGGGGCUAGAUGUUUUCUUGUCUCGAUUCUUUUACGUUGUACGAGUUUGACGUUUUUCCUGUCUCGACUCUUAUACGUCGCACGAGUUUGACAUUUUCAUGUCUCGGCUCUUUUACGUCGCACGAGUUUGACGUUUUUUCUGAACUGGAUUUUGGUUGGCAGUUUAGGCUCAUACCACCAAUGAGCAUUUUCUUUUUGAUUUUUUUUUUAUGAAAGAAAAAUACAUUACAAAACAAAACUUGCCCCCUGAAGGGUUCCAAAGUUGGAGCAGGGGCAUUUUUGGCCAAAAACUAUUGGGUGACACUAGUGGUGUUGCCUAGGCAACGCUCUCAACGUUAUCCAAACAAUGCAGGGAUUUGGGUGACAUGGGUGGUGUCGCCCUAGGAAUUUUUUUACUAUUAUUAUUUAUUUUUUGGGUGGGCGACACUAGUGGUGUCGCCCUGGAAAAAAAGGAACUUUUUUUUUUAUAUAUAUACUUUUUAGGUGGGCGACACUUGUGGUGUCGCUCGGGAAAAACAAAUUUUUUUUUUUUUUUUUGGUGUUGGUCGACCCACCUGUGUACCCUGGAGAAAAAAUCAAUUUUUUUUUGGGUGGGUGACACCACCUAUGUCUCCCAAGGAAAAAUACUUGUUGCUUUUUUUGUGUGUGGUAGGCGACACCACACAGUGUCGCCCAACUAAAAAAGAU